rnacentral:rRNA from 1 species
UGCGGCCAUAUCUACCAGAAAGCACCGUUUCCCGUCCGAUCAACUGUAGUUAAGCUGGUAAGAGCCUGACCGAGUAGUGUAGUGGGUGACCAUACGCGAAACAGCAGGGGAGAUCGGAAGAGCGGUUCA